rnacentral:rRNA from 1 species
UACGGAGGGAGCUAGCGUUGUUCGGAUAUACUGGGCGUAAAGCGCACGUAGGCGGAUUGCUAAGUCAGGGGUGAAAUCCUGGAGCUCAACUCCAGAACUGCCUUUGAUACUGAAGAUCUUGAGUUCGGGAGAGGUGAGUGGAACUGCGAGUGUAGAGGUGAAAUUCGUAGAUAUUCGCAAGAACACCAGUGGCGAAGGCGGCUCACUGGCCCGAUACUGACGCUGAGGCACGAAAGCGUGGGGAGCAAACAGG